UACGUAGGGUGCAAGCGUUGUCCGGAAUUAUUGGGCGUAAAGAGCUCGUAGGCGGUUUGUCGCGUCUGGUGUGAAAAUCCAGGGCUUAACCCUGGACCUGCAUCGGGUACGGGCAGACUAGAGUGCGGUAGGGGAGAUCGGAAUUCCUGGUGUAGCGGUGAAAUGCGCAGAUAUCAGGAGGAACACCGGUGGCGAAGGCGGAUCUCUGGGACGGUACUGACACUGAGACGCGAAAGCGUGGGGAGCGAACAGG
rnacentral:rRNA from 1 species